rnacentral:rRNA from 1 species
UGCAAGUCGAGCGAAUCUGAGGGAGCUUGCUCCCAAAGAUUAGCGGCGGACGGGUGAGUAACACGUGGGCAACCUGCCUGUAAGACUGGGAUAACUUCGGGAAACCGGAGCUAAUACCGGAUAAUCCCUUUCCUCACAUGAGGAAAGGCUGAAAGACGGUUUCGGCUGUCACUUACAGAUGGGCCCGCGGCGCAUUAGCUAGUUGGUGAGGUAACGGCUCACCAAGGCCACGAUGCGUAGCCGACCUGAGAGGGUGAUCGGCCACACUGGGACUGAGACACGGCCCAGACUCCUACGGGAGGCAGCAGUAGGGAAUCUUCCGCAAUGGACGAAAGUCUGACGGAGCAACGCCGCGUGAGUGAUGAAGGUUUUCGGAUCGUAAAACUCUGUUGUUAGGGAAGAACAAGUAUCGGAGUAACUGCCGGUACCUUGACGGUACCUAACCAGAAAGCCACGGCUAACUACGUGCCAGCAGCCGCGGUAAUACGUAGGUGGCAAGCGUUGUCCGGAAUUAUUGGGCGUAAAGCGCGCGCAGGUGGUUCCUUAAGUCUGAUGUGAAAGCCCACGGCUCAACCGUGGAGGGUCAUUGGAAACUGGGGAACUUGAGUGCAGAAGAGGAAAGUGGAAUUCCAAGUGUAGCGGUGAAAUGCGUAGAGAUUUGGAGGAACACCAGUGGCGAAGGCGACUUUCUGGUCUGUAACUGACACUGAGGCGCGAAAGCGUGGGGAGCGAACAGGAUUAGAUACCCUGGUAGUCCACGCCGUAAACGAUGAGUGCUAAGUGUUAGAGGGUUUCCGCCCUUUAGUGCUGCAGCAAACGCAUUAAGCACUCC